GAUGAACGCUGGCGGCGUGCUUAAUACAUGCAAGUCGAGCGAACAGACGAGGAGCUUGCUCCUCUGACGUUAGCGGCGGACGGGUGAGUAACACGUGGAUAACCUACCUAUAAGACUGGGAUAACUUCGGGAAACCGGAGCUAAUACCGGAUAAUAUAUUGAACCGCAUGGUUCAAUAGUGAAAGACGGUUUUGCUGUCACUUAUAGAUGGAUCCGCGCCGCAUUAGCUAGUUGGUAAGGUAACGGCUUACCAAGGCAACGAUGCGUAGCCGACCUGAGAGGGUGAUCGGCCACACUGGAACUGAGACACGGUCCAGACUCCUACGGGAGGCAGCAGUAGGGAAUCUUCCGCAAUGGGCGAAAGCUUGACGGAGCAACGCCGCGUGAGUGAUGAAGGUCUUCGGAUCGUAAAACUCUGUUAUUAGGGAAGAACAAAUGUGUAAGUAACUAUGCACGUCUUGACGGUACCUAAUCAGAAAGCCACGGCUAACUACGUG
rnacentral:rRNA from 1 species